ensembl:lncRNA
CACUUAGUCAAUUUUCCUGCCUUUGCUCAGGGAAAUGUCAGGUUUCUGUGCAGAGUUAGACAGAGAGGGGACCAAUAUGCCCAUCCCUUCAUGGGAAGCUCAGUUGAAAAAUGAAGUGAUCAAGGUAUAUAUAGCAACACCUAAGGACAAGUAUUCUUUCUAGCUAGAGACAAACACAAGCAAAACCAACAAACAAAGGUGCAGUACUGCAUGUUUUUUGGUGCAUUCUUGAGAUGUAAAUAAAAACAAAAACAAAACCGUUUCUCCAUUGUAUGCACCCAAAGCCGAGCUGAUUUCCUUUGGCAGUCCUGAUUUGAAGUCUGUAGGGACUUCGGCCGUCCCCCUGAGGCUCCCUGAAGAAACUCAACCAAUUGAUUUAAUAGUUGCUUAGUGCCUUUAUCCUGUACCCACAGCGAACUGCAGAAAGUGCCUCCAUUAAUGCAGCUGAGAAGUUAUGUAACAGAAAGGGAGGGAGGGACGGUGGGGGCACAGAGAUUUUGCUUUUCCUUUUGCCACCCUGGCUGUCUCACUCCCCAUCGUGGGGACGCCACGCCAUCCUGCACCUCGGAACAGCACAGACCUGCGAAGAUGCCCUCUGACCAUCCACUGGACUUGGUCCCCUUGGCAGCCUGACGUGGGAUGGAAACUGGGGCCCAAGACCCAUCUUCCAACUGGACAUGCACCGUAAACUGGUUUUCUUCCUCUUUUCCACCAGAAGCCAACAUAAACUCGUGGGGAAUUUGUUUUCCACCAGGGGUCCCUCUGGACAAGCAAGGCUUCCCCGGGUCCACCCUAGCGGUCCUGGCGUAUUUCCAUCCUCCCCUCUGUCUGCGGCAGCACUUUGCCAUCUCUGACAGUCUGAGCUUUGCAGGCAUCACUGUGGAUGUAGGCACACCUGGUUCAGAGCAACCUUUUGGCAGCCUUCCCUCCUGGCCCAUCCCCCUUCAGCUAUUCCCAAGAAUGCUCCUAUGAGAGUCCCACCUGGCAGUCAACUCGCAGGCUGAACAUCUAACUUCUGUUGCCCACUACACGCCAUCCUGAGGACAGUGGGGACCUUGUGCUUAGCCGACAGAGAGCCUCACCACCGGGGCCUCUGGAGGCCAGCAGCCAUCCGUCGACGGGGAGGCACUCGUGGCUUUUUGAAUGACCCGAUGUGGGGACCCUCACUUUGCACUUAGCAUGUGGCUGCCUGCCGCCCAAUGCCUUUCAUUUCUGUGCUGCUGCUUCCAGAAAUAUUCCCUGUGGCUCCACCCCUCCCCUCCACCCUACCCUAGGACCGGCAGUGAGGCAGUAAACCAAGACACUGGAGUUAAACCCAGGCCUGCUGACUCCGCUAAAAGAAAAGAACGUGGAUGUUUUCUUUUCCUGUGCGGCUUCUGUGAAUCUAUACGAUGGACGUGGCACACAGCAAGGAAGACAGAGGCCAAGAACUGCAUGCCAUCUGGCCAUAGGGCACCCACCCUCCCCGGGGUGUUUCCUUCAAACUUUUUGACUCAUCCUGGCUUUUCCUCUUACCUGCUUCGAAAUCUCCCACUGGAAAAAAAAAAAAAAAAAAGCCAACCUUGUCCACAUCUCCCGGGGCUUAUCUUGAUCUUUUUAUUUAGACUUUGAGGUCUAGGACCCACCCCCUACCCCCAACUUGAAAUGCUACACUCUGUCAACAGCAAUAAUCUGCCCGGUACUGUGGGGGAUGGGACAGACAAUGAGAAAAUGGGACCAGGACUGAAAAGACGCACUUUGGCUGUGGGGUACGCCUCUCACAGCCACACGCUGCACGGGCUGGGUCCGUCUGCAUGUGUUACAGGGAACAGUGGUGCGUGCAGGGGACCUGUCCCCCCCCCCCCCGGGACGAGAGGAGCUGCCGGUAGGAGUGUGGGUGGUUUGGGGAAAAUGAAUGCUGCUUUUUUCAUCUGUAUGUAGCUCAUCAAAACCAAGUGAGUGAGACUGGAGGACAGGGCUUGUCUGUGUCGCAUCAGCAUGCAAAGUCUGACCCAGCUCUUCCCCUUUGCACAGGGAUGAGCUGAAGUGUUUCUUGUGGACCUGAAGGUGCACUUCACGAAACUGCCUAUUACGGAGUGACUAUCUUUUCAGCUUCUCUCCUUAGGUUUAUCUGAUCGGGUUUUUUGUUUGUUUGUUUAGCUUUUUGUCCCCUUCCUAGGUCUUGAGCUUUCAUGGCUCAUGUCUUGAAUACUGGUUUUCUCCAGAAGGGGGAAGACUGGUGACCUGCUCAUAGCCAUAGCUCAGCUCUUCCGGUGAACUGAGGCCCUAGUUUCAUAGGGCAACCAGGGAAGGGUUGGGUCACCCCUGGAGCUGUUAGGCAGCCCAGAAUCUCCGAAGUGGUUAACUCAGCUCGAGUGAUCUGAAUGAGAGAGACCAAAGACAUCCGUUUCCUCUGUCCUCAGAUUCGAAGACAGAGAGUAGCCGGGAAAGGUGUGUUUUUUGCACCUCCUCUUUCCCUGCCCCUGUCUGUGCCCACAGCCUUUCCUUACUACCCACUGGACAAGUCGAGUUCUAAUUAUCAGUUAAAACAGUUCACUGGGAGCUGUGUUAGUGGGUUAGCCUGGCUAAAUCAAAUCAACCAAUAGCAGAUUCUUCUCUUGGACUGUAGCCAAUGGACUGUAGUCAUUUCUCUGAAAUGAAAUUGUAUGCUUGGUCAGAUUCCCCGGUGGAGUCUGGACUCGCUUGAGAAGACGUGAACGACAAUGCCUGUGGAUGGUGAGUGAGGACGAGGUUUCUUGAGUAGAAAUUUGGCUUAGUCCGUUGAGGGCCUUCUUCAUGUUGUGUGUAGUUACCGAUCUUUCAAACGAGUUUACCUCUGAAGAGCCAGUGGGAAUGGUUUCCUAACCCAUUUAAUAGAGGAGACCUCAAAACACAUGCUUUUUGAAAACUGGGUUCCUUGUUUGGCAGAUGAAAUUGAACAAAAAGAGAAAAAGAAUUCCCGUUUUCUUCCAGCCACAGCUUCCUCCUGGGAGUGGGGAGGACUGGUGAGUGAUAACCAUCAAGAGGACACAAUUGUUAGAACACCAACAGCGAAACAGCCAUUUUAUCUUUCCACUUUUCCAAGAAAGGGUGAAGUUUUUCGAUAUUUCUGUUCAUUUUCAGAAGACACACACAAAUUUUUAAACCUGACACAACCCAAGUGAAGGGCCACCUCUGGAGGUGACCCCUCAUCCACCAUGUGGUGUAUUAGUGCUCGUACUUAUACAUGGAAUUUCAGGGUAUACGUGACUACGUCCAGCAUGACUCAGGUAAACCUUAGAAGAAUGUACCUUACUUAUCCUUUUUGUAAAGACGUGAACAGGAGCUGAGUUGUCACCCACAACUGUUCCUGUUACCGUGGGUCACUGUAUGAACUCAUUCAGGGUAGAGAUGUCAAGUUUAGAAGUCUGGGGAUCACAUGCCGUUCUCUUUGCUCAGGCUAAAGGACCCUGGGCUUUCUUGGGCAGCCCAGUGUAUGUGAGGGAAGCCCUCAGGACUCUUAGCUUUAGGGAGAUUAGCCCUAGUUGCAGUGAUUUUCAUAGGGGCUAAGUAGGAGUUAAUUUUUUUUUAUGACAUGGGACUUCAAAGAGGAGAGAAAAGUUUUGCAUCCAAAUCAGAGAAGAAGAAAUGGUGCAAGGAAAGAAAGCAGAAUUAAACACAACCCCCUUUGCGAGGUAUUCCAGGUUAAAGCUGUCUCCUUUCUAAAACCUACAGACACACCUUUCUUCUCUGUCCUGCACUGUUUAGAACUGUGUCAUCAGCAGCUAUAAGUAGAAAGCAUGGGCUCUAUAUGACAUACCUCUAAUCUUAAAGUCUUACCAAGGUUAAAAAUCCCAACGGAGUCGUCUUAAUUUGAAGUGCACCAUCAGGACAACAAACCACUUAAGCUUGAAAAAGCGCAUUUCAUUUCUUUGCGUUCGCUAGUUGCGGACACCUUGAGUUAACGACGUGUCUCAUUUUCACCCACUGUGCGUUUCCCCUGCCCUAAUUGUCUCAUAGGUCGGGUAGAGGACACUGAAUGUUAUGAAUCGAGAACCUAAUUGAAGCGCAUAGUAUCCAUCUAUGCAAUUUUACUUGCUUCUGUCACUUUAUGAUCUGUUCAUAUUUGGCAUCAAUUAAAGAUAAUUUUUAAGGAUCUUAUCAAGGAAUGUCUCGACUGGUUCUUUGUUUCUUGUGUAACUGGGUUUCGGGAACUCUGUCUUGUGGGGUGCUCUUUAAAUAACAUGGUGAAUCCAACAUACAGUUGAAGUUACCUCAUUUUCUUGGAGCGCUUCCCAAGUAGCUAAGUUGCUAAGGAAUCUGCCUGCAAUGCAGGAGACCUGGGUUCGAGCCCUAUGUUGGGAAGAUUUCCCUGGAGAAAGGAAUGGCAACCCACUCCAGUACUCUUGUCUGGAGAAUCUCAUGGACAGCUGAGCCUGGCAGGCUACAGUCCAUGGGAUUGUAAAGAGUCAGACACUACUGUGUGACUAACUUUCACUUUCAUUUUCUUGGAAAUUCAUGGAUUGUUAUCUUUUGUACAAGGAAAUACACUGGAGUUGAAUUUUGACAAUAAAUUCACCGUUGGGUCUCAGGUAAGAUCCCAAGGAGAGGCUGUCAGAAUUUGAUUUGUGCAAAUAGUGGAAAGGAAAAAAAAAAAAAAAAAGAGGCCCAAGGGACUAAAGCAAUUGAUUAGAUUUGCCUAAAUUGUUUUUGAUGUGAAACUGUAUUCUUCAUCCACAGCCCAAGCUUUUCAGGAAGGAUAAUGGAGUGUGUAGGUGUGUGUCUAAUAGCACUGUGGUCUGACACCCAAUAUCUUUGUCGACUGAAAGGAUGCACAACAUGAGAAUUGCAAGUUGUUUCACUUGGGGCAAAAGGAGGACUGCAGCUCGGGAGACAGCACCUCAGAUAGCUCUGAGAGACUGCUCUAAAGGGGCAGUGGGGGAAGGUUUUUGGUGAAGGGGAAGUGCAAUGCAGUCAAGCACUUACUUUACAGAAGAUCUUCUGCUAGUCACGGGGGAACUGAUGUCAUCAUGAAGGGAUUUAAUGCUUUUCUAGAUGUGAGGAGAUGGAAGGAUUGGGAUCCUUAGAUCUGUUCCUGAAAAUAUCCAACUGUCUAAGGACCUGUCCUCCCAGGUUCCCUGGGGCACAGGGUGCCUCACUGUGCAUCCUGAACUCCCUUCAGGGCACGUCGAAGGUCAGCAGUUACAGUAGCAUAGGGUUCAGUCUCCGCGAAGGCAGUUGGCGAGUGUCCUUGGCAAGCUUCACUUUGUGUUGACACCUUGAUAGUUGCACUGUGCUGUUAGAUGUGAUUUUUAUGUUGAUUUACUUUUGGCUGCACAGGGUCUUUGUUGCUGUGUGUGGACUUGCUGUAGUUGUGGACAGCAGGGCCCGUACCCUCUAGCUGGGGUGUGAGGGCUUCUCACGGUCGUGGAUUCUCUUGCUGCGGAGCUGGGACUCUAGGCCAUGCGUUUCAGUAGUGGCAGCUCACCGGCCCUAGGGUACAGGCUCCGUAGUUGUGGUACAUGGGGUAAGUUGUCCCACGGCAUGUGGAAUCUUCCCAGACCAGGGAUCAAACCUGUGUUUCCUGCGUUGGCAGGUGGAUUCUCAACCACUGGGCCACCAGAGAAGACCUCAUGGGGUUUUUUUGGUAUGUUUUUUAUGACUCAUUGGUACAUUUUCUUCCUGAGAUGUAAAAGCUCUCUUUUCUUCCUUGUGAAUAGCAUAUUUUAUACAAAGCUCUUAGAUGUCACAGAAAACAGCGUUCCACGCCUUAUGACAGGGUCUGCUAUGUGCCGAAUGCCUGGGGUGGCUGCUGCACCUUCUUAGAAUUGCAUUGCAUCGUGCUAGGUUCAGAUUGUAAGACUGAGAGAUGGAUCUUGCUUUUGCUAUAGAGGUGGCUACUGAAAGUAGAUCAUGAGGCUGGACAAGCUGCCCAUCAUUUUUCUGUUGUGGUUGGAAAACAGGCAAUGUUGAGCUCGACAGAGAAAGGUAAGAAUGAUCUGGAAUAUACAUCAGUGGCAGUGGGUGAAUGAGCAUUCACAGCUCUGAGUAUAUUUCCCAAAGCUAAAUCUUGGAAUGGUCUUCCUGAAACAGUGGCAGACAAAUCCAGGUAGGUGCAAGGGCAGGACUGUGGCUGGAAUUUAUUGUUUACAGAGCUUCAAAAUGACAUCAGGUCAGUUUUAAGGGAGGCCAAGCAGCAGAGGGUUGAUGCAAUGUGAGCCCAACCACUGUGACACUGGGGAGGGAAGCUGGCUGAUGCUUUCCGCCCUCAGUCUAGACUGUGGAGCCUCUCCAGGCCUGAGUGUGGAGGUAAGGUGAGCCCUGGGCAGAGUGUGUCCCAUUGCAAAAUCCUAAGCAGAAGACUGAUACUGAAGCUGAAGCUCCAGUACUUUGGCCACCUGAUGGGAAGAGCCAACUCAUUGGAAAAGACCCCAAUGUUGGAAAAGAUUGAGGAUAGGAAGAGAAGGGGGAAACAGAGGGUGAGAUGGUUGGAUGGCAUCACUGAGUCAAUAGACAUGAGUUUGAGCAACUCCAGGAGAUGGUGAAGGACAGGGAAGCCUGGUGUGCUACGGUCUAUGGAGUUGCAAGAGUCAGACACAGCUGAGCCACUGAACAACAACAAAGCAGAUAAAACGGCAUGGUCAUGAUGCAGAACUGCAAAGCUGUCCUUUGAACCAACUUAAAAACAGAUAACUGAAAAAAAAAUCAGAUAAUUGAAAAAUCGUAUUCAACUAAUUGAAUCCAAUACACCAUUAAUUUUAAGAGGUUUGAUGUAUUAAUAUUUGCAAGCAAGAAGGAACAUUGACAAUUAUGACCUGCCAUUGCAUUGAUUCAUCUCAAUUUUAGAGAUGAAAAAAUAUAAACAAUACAAAAGGAAUCAAUAUCAAAUCACUAUGUCCUACACUUGAAACUAAUGUAAUAUUAUAAGUAAACUGUAUUUUUUUUUAAUUAAAAAUUGUUUUUGCUUGGUCCUUCAUGCUCAUAUUGAUGGUAAAUUUGCUGGAGUCAUGUUUAAGUUUGUAUGUAACUGAGCUUGAGCCCAAGAGAAUCCUAAAGCACAUCUUCCUAGCCAUCCUGGCAGAAGCCAGGGCCAUAAAUUGGACCCACAAAGCCAUUGAGUCCUAUUAGGUGCCAGCAGUGUAUUUCUGGUCUUCUGACCCAAUCUGUUCUGUAACAAUCACUGCCUUUAAGAGAAAUGGUACACUGGCAGUUUUCAUAAGACACCCAACCUAAUUUUCUAGGAUUAUUAGGUGGAUUAUCUUUGGGAUGAUUUAAUUGUUACCAGCAUAGGGGGGCCUUUGGGCUUAGAUGACCAUAUCAACUGUACUUCAAUCAAUUUGAAAAAAGAAAGGACUCUUUGAAUUGAUGAAGUAUGGGGAUUCUAAUAUGUGUUACCCUUUGCUUCCUAGUGUGAUGGUAGGUGUGGAUUCUAAACCCAUUAAAUAUGGGAGUUUCCUGAACCCUGGCUAGAACCUUUGUAUGUGUGUGUGAGCUCUGUUAUGCCUGUGACUCCAGGGACUGUAUCCCACUAGGCUCCUCUGUCCAUGGGAUUUUCUAGGUACUGGAGCAGGUUGCCAUUUCUUUCUCCAGGGAUCUUUCCAACCCAGAGAUUGAACCCAUUUCUCUUAGGUCUCCUGCAUUGGCAGGUGGAUUCUUUACUACUAGCGCCACAUCUGCCCUCACCUCAGACUUUGUUCUGAUACAUUGUGGAGCCCCCUGUCCCCAUGCAGUUUGGCAUCCAGACAUCAGGUACCCAGCGGGUGCCUUUGAUCUCAUUAUGUCUGGAAGGAGGUGUGCUCUUUCUGUGUUCUCCCUCGCCCCUUAAUAGCAGGCCCUCUAUGAUGAGCCCUGCAGAACCUUCAGCAGCCCUCAGCAUCCAUCAGGUUAAAGGCAAUCUGACACUCUCAUUCCCAGUAAGCAGCUACAAGCAAUCCCUUCCACGUUAAUCACCUUGCUUUACUCUACUUGGUGAAUUAGGUAGGGCUGAUAUUGCUACACAUGUUUUACAGAGAAGGGGCAUGCCUAGGGUCACCGGAUGGAGAGAGAUGGCCUAGGUUUUAUGGGGCUUCCCUGAUGGCUCAGUGGGUAAAGAAUCUGCCUACAACGCAGGAGGCACUGGAGACACUAGCUCAACCCCUGGGUCGGGAAGAUCCCCUGGAGAAGGCGAUGGCAACCCACUCCAGUGUUCUUGCCUGGGAAAUCCCAUGGACAGAGGAGCCUGGUGGGCUGCAGUCCAUGGGGUCGAGAAGAGUCAGACAUGACUGAGCGACUAAGCAGUGGGCCUAGGUUUACUCAUGACCCCCUGGCUGGUGUCUGGCACAUGGUAGGAACUCUGAAUGGUAUUCGCUGAGGAAAGCUGGAAUGCGGAAUCUCGCACAGUCAGGAGAGAGCAGUGAGCUAUGCAUAGGGACAUGGGCUCUUUGAGGCUUUAAAGUGCUCAUGUCUAAAAUGGAAAUGUAAUACCAUAUAGGACUGCUGGAUUAAAUGAGGUAAUAUAGGUUAACACAUUUGGUAAAUUUGGAUGUAUUCUAUAAACAUGAGAAAUUAGUAGGCUUGUUAUUAAUUAACGUGAUGAGAGGAGAUGCAGGGGGAGGAAGUGUGCUUUAAAGGAAGACUCCAGGGGCUCAGACGCUCAAUUAAAAGAAACAGUAGGAUAGUGCAGUUUGGAGACUUGAGGCAGAGAUGUUUGGGGUAUGCAUUUUCAGUACAUCUGGAGAAGGCAAUGGCACCCCACUCCAGUACUCUUGCCUGGAAAAUCCCAUGAAUGGAGGAGCCUGGUGGGCUGCAGUCCAUGAGGUCGUGAAGAGUCGGACACGACUGAGUGACUUCACUUUCACUUUUCACUUCCAUGCAUUGGAGAAGGAAAUGGCAACCCACUCCAGUGUUCUUGCCUGGAGAAUCCCAGGGACGGGGGAGCCCGGUGGGCUGCUGUCUAUGGGGUCGCACAGAGUCGGAGACGACUAAAGUGACUUAGCAGCAGCAGCAGUACAUCCAGGCUUCGCUGGUGGCUCAGAUGGUAAAGAAUCUGCCUGCAAUGCAGGAGAUCCAGGAUCAAUCCCAGGGGCAGGAAGAUCCCCUGGAGAAGGGAAUGGCUACCCACUCCAGUGUUCUUGCCUGGAGAUUCCCAUGGACAGAGGAGCCUGGCAGACUACAGUCCAUGGGGUUGAGAAGAGUCAGACAUGACUGACUGACUAACACACUUCAGUACAUCCUGUGUGUAACACCAGCUAGGCAGAAGCCUGAUGGAAUGCUGAGCCUCUAUUUCUAGUUUCGUUUCUCCCUCCCCGUGACUUAAUACUGUUUUACCUCUUCAGACUCCAAAUAUCAGGAGUAAACCACCAUGGAUAAGUUGAGGGACCAGAAGGCAUCUUUAAUAAUUUACAUCUCUCCUAUUUUUGCCUCAUUUCCCCCUUGUGCAAAAUAUUGCACCAUUUGACUUUUUUCCUUUCCACCUGUGAAUAUUGAGAAAUAAAGCAAGAUGUUGUUUGCAGAGUUUUCUCAUAUGCUUGUUGCAGAGACAUUAUAUAAAUAUUAAAACUUAUUCUUAACUUCCCUUACUAGAAAUAACCCUCAUGAGCAUAAAUGAGUCAAUACAGACUUUUCUGGACUAGCACCUUCUACAGUAAUCCAGCUUUUUCUUCAUAACACUGAUUGCAUAAAGGGGCUGUGAUUUAAAUAACAGUAAGACUUCAUCUGGUUUUCUUAAGGAAUUUCAUCGUAAUUAAGUAAAGGAGUUGAGUAUCUGUGAGAAUCUUUUGGUUCAUGAGACAUUUUUCUAGAGAGUAACAUUCAGGAGCUGGGCUGAGUUCUCUAACCACUUAUGGUUUUUUUUAAAAUAGAUUUGACGUGGCCUGUUCACAUUUCUCAUUUGCUGUAACAGUGUGUUCUCCCUCGUUUGAAGUGCUGAGCAUUAAAUGCAUUUUAGGAACGUUUCUAGAGAAACUAAUUCCAGUUCAAAUGUAUUUUUUUUUCAGAAUUGAAAACAGAGAAUGAUGAGUGAGUAGGUGCUAAAGCUUAGGAUAAUUUAAAUUUUGAGCUCAGGGCCAAAUCCAACUUCUAUUAAAAAUGCUUAUUCUUCAACUCUUGAGUUCAGAGUGUUCAGAAAUCAAGGAUACUUUAAUUAUCCCUAUGGUGAUUUUUUUUUCAUUCUGUACAGUAUCAUUAAUUCAUUGUUUCAGAAAAGGAGUAAUUUUGUUUUAAGUGAAUUUCCAAGAGAAUCUCUCUGGGACUAAGAUUCUCCUUACUAAGUGUUUUCUCUUCAUUAACAGGCAAAACUUUUUUAAUCUUAGAGAACUUUGCAUAUGUUAGUCCUAGAAGAAGGGACAGCCAGUUCAGUUUUUGAAAGAUCACAGGAGAUUGGUUUAUCGUUGAAAGAUGUUUCUAGUUAAGAUGGAAGAGGUUUCCUUAUAGUUGCUAGAGGAUGAAGCUCACAUUUGUUGGCAGUUUAAAAAUAAUGCUUAUCUUCAGUGGAUAAAGAUCAGUACUCUAAACAUCACUUAAUCACAAUGCUAGUAAUUUAAAAAAAACAGAGUGAUGUAAGUUUGUGCUGUGUGUUUAAUCACUCAGUUGCAUCCUACUCUUUGCAACCCCACCAGGCUCCUCUGUCCAUGGACUUCCCAGGCAAGAAUACUGGAGUGAGUUGCCAUUCCCUUCUCUAGGAGAUCUUCCCGACCCAGGGAUCGAAUCCAGGUCUCCUGAACUGUGGGAGGAUUCUUUACUGUCUGAGCCACCGGGGAAACCCUAAUGCAUAACAUGUGGAAAGAAAAAUGUUUGUCCACUGCAAGAAAUUCCAAGCAGUACAUCAGGGCAGUGUUUCAAGGCCGUGAUGCUAUGGGAUGAGAGAAAAGAGAUUGGUUAGCGUGAAGAAGUCAACUAUGUGACUUCAUCAUUCUCAAGGGUUUGCAGAGAAAGCAUAAUGGGCAAACAGAGAGCAAAGGUGUUUUAGCUGCCAGAAGGAGAAGUUUGGCUUAGGAUAACUUUCAGGUCUGUUGCUUUAAGAUGGAUGAUCAGCAAACGGGCUGAUGAUAUUGAAGAGAUCAGAGACCUUGGCUCAUCUACUGUAUAAUACGCAGUGUCUUAGUCACGCCUUAAUUACCCGUGGUUAUUAUGGUAACUGAAAUAAUGGCUCAUAAGUUAAUGUGAUGGACUAUUAUGCUCGUUUUAAAAAGCCAUAUAAAUCGUCUCAUAGGUCAAUUUAAUGAGCUCAACAUUCAGCCAAGCUGUGUUGGAAGUGGCGCUGGACUCUGCACUAAAUUAUCCAGGAAGUUUGCUGGUGUUCAGUAAGGGAGACUUUUUGUUAUCAUGGUUUAUUUAGAGUCUUACAGAGAAGAGUAGAAAGUCAUUACAUGACUUUGGGAUAGGGUCUUGAGAAUUCUCAGAACUCUAGGGUUCAAAACUAAAGGGAAAAUGAUUCAAGAUGAUUUUUAAAAGACAAAGUCUUGUAAAAUGAGCAAAGGUAGCCAUGUUUCAUUUAAAUGUGUUUCCUUUACACCUGAUGAUUUUAUUUUAGGUGUCAUUUCCACCAUUCAUGUAUUAUACAAUCACUGUGCGAAUGGAAAUUCUAAAUUUCUCAGCCUGUUACAGCAUUUCCCAAACUCUCUGGCUAGGCUGCCAUUUAAUUCUCAUUGUACUGAGAUCAGUCCUCCAGUUUGGUAGACAUAGUAAUUGAGAUUCUUAACAGAAAUUGUUGUUCUGGUUGCUUUCAUCUUUGGGGAAGAAUCUUUUUUUUUUUUUUUAAAUGUGUAGACAUUCUGUUUUUAAUUUUUUAAACUUUUUAUUUUGCAUUGGAGUAUGAGAAUAGCUGAUGAACAAUGUGAUAGUUUCAGGUGAACAGAGAAUGGACUCAGCCAUACACAGACAUGGAUCCAUUCUCUGGGGAAGUAUCUUUAUUGUGGUUUCCUCUGACAAGGACUGUGAGUUUUGUUAAAGUAGCUCAUUGAUAAUUGAGUUCCCUCCCAAGACCUGAAACCUGGACACUUCCAGAAAACACAUUUUUUCAUCUGUUCUGCUUGAGACUGGAUUACUGCAUUUCCCACAUAUAUCCCUGUUUCCUGGAAUGGUCAGAUAUCAGCAGUUAAUUUAGGUGGAAAAUUGUUGUUCAUAUUCUUGGACCGUCUGGGGUUUGAUAUGAUGGAACAUCAUCUCUUGGAUUGAUGAUUGCAAACAUUCGAGUAUUUCUUGAGAGCCUUAAAAAGUAUUUUAUUGGCUCUUCAGUGUGUGCACCUUUUAAGAUUAAAAGGGAGAAAGGGAACUAGGCACUUAAAUUGAAGCUGGAGAUAUAGGACUCUAUGAAAACAAGCACUGCUGGAAAGACCUAUGGAAUUGGAAAUCACAUGCCGAGUAUGUUCUGUCUCUGGCUUAUGCUAUUGAAAGUCUGUACAUUAUUUAUUUGGGGGCCCUGCUAUCUGUAUCACCAAUAAGAUGCCUUUCCCUGACCCCAGCUCGCGAAUGUGUGUACACACACAAACACACACAUGUUCACACCCACCUCUACACUUUGACCUCUGCUUAUCUACCUGUCCGUGAAUCUGCAGGUGUCAUCUGUACUAUAAGGCAGGUAUGUUUUAGUUCAAAUAGGGAAGCCCCUUUCAAUUGAUUCUAAACCUUUGUCAUCAUUCUCUUGUAAUUAAGCAAAAAAAAAAUCGUAAAGAUAUCAUAAUAAGGUUUUCCAUUUUAUAGUUAAAGAACUUCCAUUUAAAUCAGAGGAAAAAUAAUGAUAAAACCAAACAGCAGGAGUUGAAGUUCCCAUAGUAUUUUCCUUUGGGCUCUGGGUGUUUUUCCCAGUGAGAGCAGGGAGGGUGGCCGUGAUGCUUUUCUGCCUGGGUUUACUCUCCAUCACUCCUGGCACAGCUCAGGAGCUCAGGGAUGGGCAGUGGCCUGGGGUGGAUAGUACACAUGUGGUUCCCUGUAGGGCUAGUGAAGGUGAAAGUCGCUCAGUCGUGUCCGACUCUUUGCAAUCCCAUGGACUGCAUAGUCCAUGGAAUUCUCCAGGCAGAAUACUGGAGUGGGUAGCCAUUACCUGUUCCAGGGGAUCUUCCCAACCUAGGGAUCGAAAGCCUCCUGCAUUGCAGGCAGAUUCUUUACCAGUUGAGCUACCAGAAAAUCCUCUGUAGGGCUAGAGAUGUGGUCAUCGCCAAACACUGGUCUCUUCCAGCCUGAGCCAUUUCCUGCUAUGUUAAAUUCAAAAAGUCUGUAUUUUCUGUCAAAUGGUGAGCUGAGGAAGUGACAUUCCUAAGUGGAACACUAGGCUGAAAGCAUUAGGUUAUGGCCUUGGAUUUGAAGAAUUUGGGUUUGUGGGCCCAGGGCAUGUCUUUACCACUCUUUAGUGUUUGUGAGCAGAUUUAUAAACACAGGUGACAAGAUGGUCUAUCUCAGUGAUGCUAUUUAGCUGACUCGAAAAUGCCAAAGUAUUUUGACACUUUUUGGAGAGAGGUGUUUUACCCACCACCAAGCCUAGCAACGCUUCUAAAAUUUGGAAGAUGGAAGACUUGUCAUAAAUGAAUGAAAAUUUAAGUGAUAUAGUAACACAUGAAAGGUGUCAGUAUUAUUUCAACUCAAGCCUUAGUGAGCUUAAACCUUCUAGCUUUAUGUAAACUCUAAAUGUAGACUUUUAUUUAUUCUACGUACAAAUACCACAUGAUUCUAUGGUGUCUUAGUUAAAGGGCAAGUGUAAAAGUGUUCUUUUACGUCCUUUGCAAUUUAUAAGAAACUUUAUCAUACAUUAUUCUAUUUGACUCUUAUGACAGCUUCUUGGGAUGGCAGGUGAGGUACAGAUAUUUCUUUCCAGUUGUAGGUUGAGUCUGCUGAGAUGUCUGAGAUGGAGAGGAUGUGCAGGAAGGUAUUGGGGAGUGUUAUCUCUAUUAUACCUGAAGGGAGAUGAGAACAGGGAUGAAUGGGGAGAAGUCGGGCUGCACCUCAGUCAUGACAGAAGCCGAGCCGUGCCUGCAGGAUGCUCUGAGGCUGGGCUGGCCCUUCAAAGCUCCCCUGGGUUGGAGCCUGGGAAGCAGGGCUUGACAUGUUCUUGUUGGCUUAUCUGUGGAUGAGGCUGCCCUGGGAAGGAAUGUGACCUUGGCUGAGGUGACUCUCUUCAUCAGAGAGGCAAUCCCCAGAGGGCUGAUGGCUGAGUGCUCUCCUGGAAGCUAGGAAAGAGUGCUCUAGGCAUGAAGAGCUGGGGGGACCUCCGCAAUGGCUCAGCAGGUAAAGAAUCCACCUGCCAGUGCAGGAGACACAGGAGACAUGGGUUCUCUUCCUGAGUUGGGAAGAUCCCCUGGAGAAGGACGUGGCAACACACUCCAGCAUUCUUGCCUGGAGAAUCCCAUGGACACAGGAGCCUGGUGGGCUACAGUCCAGUGGGUUGCAGAGAGUCGGACAGGACUGAGCGACUAAGCACAGCAACACAGGCACAAAGCGGGCUUAGUUGUUACAUCACUGCGAGAGGUGGGGGGAAUCAGCUCGCCUGUGGCCAGAGGGGAGGCACUCAGGGGGAGAAAGACGAACAGUAGAGCGGAGGAACGUUUGAAGGAGGGUCGUCAGUUUCUAAUGAUCACGAGUUGACGGCAGUUGAUAGAUUCACUUGUUAAAUGGACAGAGUGCUCGGAGGCCCCUGGAGAUGCUCCUUCCUAAUGCACGCUAGCAGGCAUCUUCCAGACUGGCCUGAACUCCCCUGUAUGGAUCGAGUUCAAUUAUUAAUCAGGAGGGCUGGGGGAUGCUGCCUAAUGGCAUAGGCUGGGUAAUUGAGCGCCUUUGUAAUGUGUGUUCAGAGCGCAGGUUCGGAUGGUAUCGACAUGGACUGCUCCUUGCUUUGGCUGCACACCUCGGGGGUGUUGAUGCUUUGAGGUCCCAGAGAAAUGCACCAAACCGCUUGUGCAGCUUAAUGCAUCGAAUGACAUUAGCGCUUCCUCUGAGUGUGUCACCCAGAUGAUAAAGAUGUGCCUGGAAGGGAGCUGGUGGGAAGGGGGCUUUUAAAAGGAAACUCUCAGACCUUGUGGCACUAUCACCCUGCCCCUAAGUGGUUUUGUGGCCGGUUUAGAGCUCCUCAGCAUGGAGUUCGUACACCUACGUGCUUGUUAAGAGAGGGAGCUUGGCUUUGAGUCCAGAAACAACAGGAUUCCUUAGAUUUUUCAUCUGAACAUGCAUCUCAGAGAAACUAAUUGUUUGGGCGUUGGAUCUGGAUUAAAAAAACACACACACAUACCUGUAGGCUAUGUGAUUAAUGGUAAUUCUUAGGACUCCAUGUCUCGAACCUACUAGCAGGAAAUUUACAUUUGCUAAAAAGUCCAGCUUGUUGUAGGGCUUCCUAGGUGGCAACAAUGGUAAAGAACCCGAUUGCCAAUGCAGGAGACAGGAGAUCUUCCUGGGUCGGGAAGAUCCCCUGGAGGAAGACAUGGUGACCCGCUCCAGUAUUCUUGCCUGAGGAAUCGCAUGGACAGAGGAGACUGGAUGCAGUCUAUAGUCCACAGGGUCACAAAGAGUCAGACGUGACUGAAACAAAUUGGCAUUCCCGCACGGCAGCUUGUUGCCCCAGAAACAGGUCUCGUCCACAAUAGAUCUGAAACUCUUGGGAGAACAGUUAUGACUUUCCAAGCUUGUGUUGUUCUGUCAUAUUGAAUCACAAUUGCCUCGGAAAUCUAGAUUUUAGAUUUUGAAUAAUGUCUAUGUGAGUCUGAGGGUCCCUUUGCAGUGUCUUUGCUAUUUUACUUACUUUUUAUUCUUACUUUUUACGUUAAAAAUUUCUAGCCACCAACUGAAAAAAAAGAGUAUGACCAUAUUUCAGAUCAGACUCUUCUAGAAAAGUAGCCUAAUGGGAAAAGCUGAG